rnacentral:rRNA from 1 species
UACGAAGGGGGCUAGCGUUGUUCGGAAUUACUGGGCGUAAAGCGCACGUAGGCGGCUUUUUAAGUCAGGGGUGAAAUCCCGGGGCUCAACCCCGGAACUGCCCUUGAAACUGGAAAGCUAGAAUCUUGGAGAGGCGAGUGGAAUUCCGAGUGUAGAGGUGAAAUUCGUAGAUAUUCGGAAGAACACCAGUGGCGAAGGCGACUCGCUGGACAAGUAUUGACGCUGAGGUGCGAAAGCGUGGGGAGCAAACAGG